AUUCAUGGAGGGUUAACUUAGAGUGCAAUCUGCCAUUUUUAAAGCACUCUAAGAGCUGUGAAUGUCUGUUCAGUUACAGCUUUAGAGCACUUUCUGUGUGCUUACAGUGCGAUAGAUGUAACAUCUGUACCUAGCCUAGAUGUUUAGUACUGGUAAACCACACAUUAAUACUGAGAGGUCUAGUUCACUCUAUUCAGAAGACUACCGAAAGACCUUGGCAGCACUUAAGUCCCACUUAGUUUAUUAAAGAAGGCCUUGAAUGAUUUGAAUGUUGUGAAUGCUUUGUCCUGACCUCCUCCCCACAGGGAAAUGUCAGCUGAGAAGCUUGUACCACACCUGCCUAUAUCUUGAAGGGCUAUAGCCAUUGGACCCAAACAUUAAGAAGAGGAAAUGUUAUUUCCAUCUUAAAGCAGGCUAUCAUUCCUGCCAAAUACACUGAGUUAGUGUAAAUAAAAUACAGCCACAGUUUUAUUCAGAAAGACUUCCGAUGGAAGAGGAUACUGCUAAUAAGGCACCACAGGGAGCAAAGCUGGAGAGAAAAAGGGAAAUUGGGCUAUAAGAAGGAAAAAGAUAGAUGUAUAGAAUAUCUUCUCCACAGAGUUAUCUUCAUCCAUAGUGAAGGCUUGGCAAAAAAGGAAGAAGAACGAAGUGGUAGAUUGAUAAGCCUCACAAA
rnacentral:lncRNA from 1 species